rnacentral:rRNA from 1 species
CAGUCGCCGCGGUAAUACGGAGGGGGCUAGCGUUGUUUGGAAUUACUGGGCGUAAAGCGCACGUAGGCGGCUUGGUAAGACAGAUGUGAAAUCCCCGGGCUUAACCUGGGAACUGCAUUUGUGACUGGCGGGCUAGAGUAUGGCAGAGGGGGGUGGAAUUCCACGUGUAGCAGUGAAAUGCGUAGAGAUGUGGAGGAACACCGAUGGCGAAGGCAGCCCCCUGGGCCAAUACUGACGCUCAUGCACGAAAGCGUGGGGAGCAAACAGGAUUAGAUACCCUUGUAGUCCCUGUCUCUUAUAC